rfam:Camelus ferus unplaced genomic scaffold scaffold301, whole genome shotgun sequence.
GGAGGGUAUAGCUCUGGUAGAGUGCGUGCCUAGCAUGCAGGAAGUCCUGGGUUCAAUCCCCAGUCUCUCUA